UCGCCGCCCUGUUAUAAGGCUGGAACUCUCGGUUGCUGGGUUAGUUUCUUGCUGAUCUCAACAGCAGAAAGUAUUCCAGGCCAGCCAAGAGUUUGCAGAGGGCGGGUGUUACGCUUCUCUGUCGCAGACAUGGUUCUCAACAUCGAAAUAACCUAUUGUAAUUCCUGAGGGUAUGCCAGGAAGUUCCACGAUCUCGAGGAAAAACUCCUAAAGGAGUUUCCUGAUGAACUUCAUAUCGUUGGGAAAUCAGUUGGUGGAAAUACUGGCUGCUUUGAGGUUGUAGUAAAGGAUUCAGACACCGUUCUGUUUUCUAAACUGGUUACGUGAAAAAAAAAGUAUUAAUGACGAGGUAUUUAAGACGAUAGUGACAGGAAUCAAAGCAGCCCUUAAUCAGUGAAUGCAGAAGAUGUAAUUCUCAGUUAAACAUACAUUUACCUGGUUCAUUGUGGCUGAACACUUAAUGAUGGAGAUGGCCAAAAUGUCUUCAAAAGGCACAGCUGUUCCCUGAUGUCCAUGUGGAAUGCUCCAGUGGCCAGGUUUUAUGGGGUUUGACUUGAGCUCAUUUUCAGCCAGUACCUAAUGUUUUUUCUCUCUUGACUCUUUCCCCUCCUCGACCACACCCCCCCCAGCAUCCAAGUACUCCCCCCCCGCAAUGCUGUACUACAAAAAUACAAACUCUAUGCAAUUAAAGGGCACCAUAUUCACCCAUUCCAUCUCCCCAGAGAUGCUGCCUGUCCCGCUGAGCUACUCUAGCAUUUUGUGUCUAUCUUCGGUUUAAACCAACAUCUGCAGUUCCUUCCUACAUUUUGUCUGCUCCACUGUGAAAUCUCAUGGUAUGUCUACUUUGAAGAAGUUCUCCUCCUCUCUCCGACGCGAGUUCUGCAACAUCCUCUCUUGCUGCUGCGCCUGUAAUUCCUCCUGCUCUCCGACUACGCCUUCUCCCAGCUAACAAUGAUCUAUUCUAUUUUCUUUGAUGUCCAUUCCCCUUGUCCUGUUUUCACACCUUACUCUUCUUUAUCUACCUCCCUCUCCUGACAUCAGUCAGAAGGGUCUCGACCCAAAACAUCACCCAUUCCUUCUCUCCAGUGAUGCUGCCUGUCUCGUUGACACAACUAUCUUCGGUUUAAACAAGCACUGGCAGUUCCUUCCUACACCAUAUUCCUUUCUACAGUCUUGUGGUGCCAAUUUUACUGACCUGCAAUGAGGGCUUCCAACUCCCCUAUUCAAGGAUAUACAAAUGUAACGGCUCUAAUUAAAAUUUGCACCCAGUUUUGUUCACCUUAAACAAACUGUUCGCCUUAAAUAAAAAAUUGCACUGAUCCUUGCAAUCAUCAUGCCUGCAAUCAUUUCCGUUUGAGACUGUGCAUUGUACUUCAGCAUUUUUGCA